CGAACCAAUUAUGAUCACUGGUGAUGGAUGAGUCAUGGAUUGUGAAUAGUAUGUGACUGGAACCUUGAGGUCCAA